UGAGUCAGCAGGUGUAGAUGGUAAAUUCGACCAUCCCUCAAGGAUCGAAGAACAGACGGCCCGGCCCACAUGAAGCGGAGCAUUGGCUCGACGCGGCGGCUUGAAGGGUCGAUCUCUCGGCGUAAUGUGAGAGAGCUUUCGAUGGGCUUCUUGACUAAACACCCCGAGAAAACGACUCCACGAGACAAUGUGGACUUCUCGGCCCAGCGAGUUAAAGCCCACAGAGACGACACAAACUAGGCCACGGAAGUCUCGGCCCAGCGAGUUAAAGUCCACAGAGACGACACAAACUAGGUCACAGAAGAGCGUGAGGUCAGCUAUAAAAGGGGAAGGAAAGGCAACGUAAGGGGGAUCCAAAAUCACUGAUACCCACUGGGCGGCUAGAUUAGGGUUUUACCUUUGUUAUCUCGCCUUGUUGUAUCUCUCCGAUAAAGCCUUCGAGGCUCCGGUACCUUUCCUUUUACGUAUUUCCUUUCCUUGUAACCGACGAAACGCUCUUCCGACCAUUAAUAAGAC
rnacentral:lncRNA from 1 species